ensembl:lncRNA
GUGCAAUAUUGGUUUGCCAUCUGAUUUCAAGAAAUCUCUAUGUUUCCACAGCGUGCCGAAAUCGUGACACACGCCAAAUGCGUAUCUACUAUCUGUGUAAAUGCAGGCAGUUUUGCCUUCAGCCAGUUUACACGCUCUGAUUAAUGCAUAUAGUUCUGCUGCCUGUGCUGAGGGAUAUUGUGGCAAGCUUCCACAGUCCAGCGUUUCGCUAUCUGUUACUACUGCAAAUCCACUCUGUGUCACUCCCCCUGGUGUUUUAGAUGCGCUGCCGUCUACGUACAGCGUCAUUUCUGCAUUUGGUAUUGGCACGUCCAGCAAGUCUGGGCGUGGUGCACAGACCUGUUGGAUAGCCGUUAUGCAGCAAUGGGGUUCCCCUUCGUCAGGGAGUGGCAUCAGCGUGGCUGGAUUCAGUGUAUUACAGCGUUUUAUGGUUAUGUUGGGCAUUUCCAUAAGGCUGGUGGUAUAACGAUACCAGCGAGCUGCAGAAAGAUGUGAAGUUUUACUUUCGUUUAGUAUCAGUGAUACGCUGUGAGGAACGAAGAGUGUCAGGCUGCCAUAACCAACAAAAAUCUCUACAGGCUAAUACAGCUUUUUUUCGCAGGCCGCUAUAGCUCGUAGACAGGCCGGAAGUCCAGCCGCCACGGCGUCCAGUCGACCUGAGAAAUAGCCAACUGGGCGUAAUUUCAUGCCAUGAUCCUGUAAGAGAACACUCAGCAUGUGACCUCGUUUUUCGUGGACGUGUAAGAAGAACGGUUUGGUCUGAUCAGGAAAACCUAAGCAUAGUUACAGUUAGAAAAAGCAGAUACUUCGUUGCGCAAAGAGAAAGGAUUGAUACUCAUCGUGUGCUGUGCUGUCACUUCGCUGGACGCCUCCUCCCUCCCAGGGAUUGUCUGGAUGUUACUUCAUCAGCGUGUGUGGCAUGUCUUCUCACCUCCUCCAGCCUAGCUCUGCUGAGUCCCACGCAUGAACGCUCCACUGCACGUCUUGUUUCCUCUCUCAUGCCUUGUAGAAAGCAGGUUUUCAAGAACUCUUCAUAAGGAGACGGGUUUGCAGCGUCAGCUGGCUUGUGGUUUGAGUGCAGAGGUUGGUUUCAGUAUUUGUCUCUUCGGCUUUGUAGCAGUCUCUGAGGGAGAUUUUUCAGUCUUAAGUAACAGUGGUUUCUUGUCAUCUUCUGCCUCAUCAGGGGUGUCCAGGUCUGGGAGUGGGGGUGAGCUGGGUGCGGUGGGUUCAGCGCGUUGUUCGGAUGUCAGUCCGUGGUAUGGUGGAGGUGGAUUUCGUUCGCCCCUGGGUGGGAGGCAGUCGUCCUCUGUGACUUUGACACAUCGACUUUGUACCUCAGAAGAAGAAUGAGUAGAAUUACAACAAGAACUUUUCUUGUUUGCUUUUCUUUCCCUUGUCUUACUUUCCUCUACCCAAUAUCCUAUAGUUUGACGAACCUCUGCCAUGCAGGGUUCCUUAGAACUAGGUUUAUAUUCACAAUAAAUUUUGUCUUGCCAUGCAGUAUUUUUCUGCACCGAGAAAUUUGGUAUGUAGCCAAAUCUCCCGUGCAGGAAUUCAGUUCUUUCUUUAAACUGCAUUCCAUGUUUUUUACACAUUUGAGACAGACAAUUAGACAUAGGCAAAGCAUCAUCUCUCCCUCCAGGUGCACCCACCUUACUAUCUUUGUUUCCCAUUUCGUGCGGACUUUAUACCUCACGUGAGGACUUUAUACCUCAAUUAACACUUAUUACUAGGAGGACUCUAUACCUCCUAGGGGGACUUGAUACCCCUCUGGGAAGUGACUAGGAGGACUCUAUACCUCCUAGGGGGACUUGAUACCCCUCUUAAGAAUAUAAGGAUUUUGUACGUCACCUAAGUGAUCUGAUGUACCUCCACAGGUUCUUUUUCGGAUCCCAAUCCCUGGAGGCUCCAGCGCCCACGUCCCUGUUGGGGGUUUGGGUCGACAGGCUUUCUUGUCGAGUUGAUCAGACCGCUGAAUUCCUUCAGGAAUGGGAUCCCAUCCUCGCCGCCAGAUGUUGUGGAAAAAGUUAUUUCAGAGUCACUCAGAUGAGGAAUGCACAAGAGUCAGAGAGAUGUUUCUUUGGUCUAUGUUUAUUAUAACAUGCGCAUGGAACUCUCCUUGUGUCACCACAGCAGAGAGUUAAGUUCAGCAUCAUUUCACAACAUUAUAUUCCAUCCUCUAUAUGGCAUCCCCACCCCUCUGCACGUACAUUCGUGUCCAGAAAUAAUCUCUUUUCGCAGAAUCGUGGCCAUUUUAUGUUUAAUGUUCCCUAAUUCGUAGAAUCAGUGAUUGACUCUAUUGGUCUUCUGAGUAGAGUGUCCUAUUGGGGCUGUCUGUCACUCUCAAAGAAGGUGAGGAAACCACAAGAGGAUAAACAUUCAUAGUCAUAGUACAGACAACAUGAGUAAAUAUAAUGCUGUUAGUGAAACACAUGUCAUUUGUACUAAGACAAAUGACUCAUUUUGCCAUGGCUUGCUAAGCAGGGUUUUUAUCAUUCUCUCACUUGUCGUGAUCUUUCAAUUCACUCAUGGUUAGAACAAAACAGCUAUUGUGAAUUACUGUAAGUGAGGGCUGUCGGCCUUAAAGCGUUUCUUGCGAAUAGAAAACAUUUGAUUAUAUUGUACACAUACUGCACACAGAA